AUUGAACGCUGGCGGCAGGCCUAACACAUGCAAGUCGAACGAGUGGCGGACGGGUGAGUAAUGUCUGUGAAACUGCCCGAUGUAGGGGGAUAACUACUGGAAACGGUUGCUAAUACCGCAUACCAUCGGAUGUGCCCAGUUGGGAUUAGCUCGUAGGUGGGGUAACGGCUCACCUAGGCGACGAUCCCUAGAUGGUCUGAGAGGAUGACCAGCCACACUGGAACUGAGACACGGGCCAGACUCCUACGGGAGGCAGCAGUGGGGAAAUUUGCACAAUGGGCGCAAGCCUGAUGCAGCCAUGCCGCGUGUAUGAAGAAGGCCUUCGGGUUGUAAAGUACUUUCAGCGAGGAGGCGUUACUCGCAGAAGAAGCACCGGCUAACUCCGUGCCAGCAGCCGCGGUAAUAC
rnacentral:rRNA from 1 species